rnacentral:rRNA from 1 species
GCUUGAGCACGUAGGUGGGUUUGUAAGUCAGGUGUGAAAGCCUUCUGUUCAACGGAAGAAUUGCAUCUGAAACUACAAGUCUUGAGUGUAGGAGGGGAGAAUGGAACUUCUGGUGGAGCGGUGAAAUCCGUAGAUAUCAGAAGGAACGCCGGCGGCGAAAGCGAUUCUCUGGCCUAUUACUGACACUCAGUGUGCGAAAGCUAGGGGAGCAAACGGGAUUAGAUACCCCGGUAGUCCUAGCCGUAAACGAUGGGCACUAAGUAGAGGGGAUUACCGACGUUCUCUCCGCCGUAGCUAACGCAUUAAGUGCCCCGCCUGGGGAGUACGGCCGCAAGGCUAAAACUCAAAAGGAUUGACGGGGGCUCGCACAAGCGGUGGAGCAUGUGGCUUAAUUCGAUGCAACGCGAAGAACCUUACCGGGGCUUGACAUGGUAGAAGUAGGAACCCGAAAGGGUAACGAACGGUAUCCAGUCCGUGACUAUCGCAGGUGUUGCAUGGCUGUCGUCAGCUCGUGUCGUGAGACGUUGGGUUAAGUCCCCUAACGAGCGAAACCCUUGUUUUUAGUUACCAGCGGGUUAUGCCGGGUACUCUAGAAAGACUGCCGUCGUCAAGACGGAGGAAGGUGGGGAUGACGUCAAGUCAUCAUGGCCCUUAUGCCCCGGGCUGCACACGUGCUACAAUGGUCGGUACAAACGGAAGCGAAGCCGAGAGGUGAAGCGAAUCCAAGC